UACGUAGGUGGCAAGCGUUGUCCGGAAUUAUUGGGCGUAAAGCGCGCGCAGGCGGCCUCUUAAGUCUGAUGUGAAAUCUUGCGGCUCAACCGCAAGCGGCCAUUGGAAACUGGGGGGCUUGAGUACAGAAGAGGAGAGUGGAAUUCCACGUGUAGCGGUGAAAUGCGUAGAUAUGUGGAGGAACACCAGUGGCGAAAGGCGACUCUCUGGUCUGUAACUGACGCUGAGGCGCGAAAGCGUGGGGAGCAAACAGG
rnacentral:rRNA from 1 species